GAGAGUCGAGGUGGACGAACGGUAGACGUAACGCGUAGAACCAACCGUGCCGACAAAGAUAGGGGACAACAGUCCGAAAGGACUGCUAAUACCGAAUGUUGUCAGUUUCUCGCAUGGGAGACUGAUUAAAGAUGGCCUCUACUUGUAAGCUAUCGCUUUGCGAUGGGUCUGCGUCUGAUUAGCUAGUUGGUGGGGUAACGGCCUACCAAGGCGACGAUCAGUAGCCGGUCUGAGAGGAUGAACGGCCACAUUGGAACUGAGACACGGUCCAGACUCCUACGGGAGGCAGCAGUGGGGAAUCUUCCGCAAUGGGCGAAAGCCUGACGGAGCAACGCCGCGUGAAGUGAAGAAGGGUUUCGGCUCGUAAAGCUCUGUUGACGGGGACGAAUGUGCGAAAUGCGAAUAGUUUUUCGCAAUGACGGUACCCGUCGAGGAAGCCACGGCUAACUACGUGCCAGCCGCCGC
rnacentral:rRNA from 1 species